GAGUUUGAUCCUGGCUCAGAACGAACGCUGGCGGCAGGCCUAACACAUGCAAGUCGAGCGCGCCUUUGGGUGAGCGGCGGACGGGUUAGUAACGCGUGGGAACGUACCCUUUUCUACGGAAUAGCCUUUGGAAACGAAGAGUAAUACCGUAUACGCCCUUUGGGGGAAAGAUUUAUCGGAGAAGGAUCGGCCCGCGUUAGAUUAGAUAGUUGGUGGGGUAACGGCCUACCAAGUCUACGAUCUAUAGCUGGUUUUAGAGGAUGAUCAGCAACACUGGGACUGAGACACGGCCCAGACUCCUACGGGAGGCAGCAGUGGGGAAUCUUAGACAAUGGGCGCAAGCCUGAUCUAGCCAUGCCGCGUGAGUGAUGAAGGCCUUAGGGUCGUAAAGCUCUUUCGCCUGUGAUGAUAAUGACAGAAGCAGGUAAAGAAACCCCGGCUAACUCCGUGCCAGCAGCCGCGGUAAUACGGAGGGGGUUAGCGUUGUUCGGAAUUACUGGGCGUAAAGCGCACGUAGGCGGAUUGAAAAGUUGGGGGUGAAAUCCCGGGGCUCAACCCCGGAACUGCCUCCAAAACUAUCAGUCUAGAGUUCGAGAGAGGUGAGUGGAAUUCCAAGUGUAGAGGUGAAAUUCGUAGAUAUUUGGAGGAACACCAGUGGCGAAGGCGGCUCACUGGCUCGAUACUGACGCUGAGGUGCGAAAGUGUGGGGAGCAAACAGGAUUAGAUACCCUGGUAGUCCACACCGUAAACGAUGAAUGCCAGUCGUCGGGCAGUAUUUUGUUCGGUGACACACCUAUCGGAAUAAGCACUCAUCAUGGGGAGUACGGUCGCAAGAUUAGAACUCAAAGGAAUUCACUGGGGCCCGCACAUGCGGUGGAGCAUGUGGUUUAAUUCGAAGCAAAGGGCAGAACAUUACCAACCCUUGACAUAGUCGUCGUCGCUCUAGAGAUGGAGCUUUCAGUUUUUUUUGGACGAGAUACAGGUGCUGCAUGGCUGUCGUCACCCUAAAGGGAGAGAUGUUCGGUUAAGUCCGGCAACGAGCGCAACCCACAUCCCUAGAAACCAACAGAAGGAAUGGGCAGUAUAGGGAAAUUGGCCGUGAUAAAGGGGAGGAAGGUGGGGAUGAGUUCACGUCCCCCCCGCCCCUACGGGUUGGGCUACACAGGGGGUGCACUUGCAGCGACAAGGGGUUAAUCCCCAAAAGAAGGGUCAGUUGGGAGGGGGUUUUGCAACUUGACCCCACGAAGUAGGAAGGGAUAGUAAUCGAGUAACAGCAUGAGGGGGAGAAUACGUUCUUGGCCCUCGUACACACCGCCAGUCACACCAUGGGAGUUGGUUCUACCCUCCGACGAUGGGGUAACCUUCCGGGGGCAGGCGGCCACGGUAGGAUCAGCGACUGGGGGGAAUUUGUAACAAUGUAACC
rnacentral:rRNA from 1 species